rnacentral:rRNA from 1 species
GGACGGGUGAGUAACGCGUGGGUAACCUGCCUUGUACAGGGGGAUAACAGUUGGAAACGGCUGCUAAUACCGCAUAAGCGCACGGCAUCGCAUGAUGCAGUGUGAAAAACUCCGGUGGUAUAAGAUGGACCCGCGUUGGAUUAGCUGGUUGGUGAGGUAACGGCCCACCAAGGCGACGAUCCAUAGCCGACCUGAGAGGGUGACCGGCCACAUUGGGACUGAGACACGGCCCAA